rnacentral:rRNA from 1 species
AUGGACCUCAGCCAGAUCUUUUACCACACGACAAACUGUGUGAUCACGGUCGGAAGCGCCAUCGGCUGGGUCGAUCUCUGGCGCGGCAUCAUCCUCUGGGACAUGCUGGGCAAUGAGCAGACGCUCAGUGGCGUGCCGGUUCCACUUCCGAUGAAGCAAAUCAGAGCUUCUGAUGCGUCAGGCCGAAGAUUAGGCCAUGCGAGGUAUACCCGUGGCGUUUCUUGCAUCAAUGGCCGCCUCAGGUUUGUAGAGCUGCAAUUUGAAGUCGUUCACCUUCAUGGUUUGUAUGAUGAAGAAACCGGGUGGCCGAUCUCGGAAAUGAAAAGCUGGACGAUCACCACAUGGAGCAAUGGAGGUAUGAGUGAACUUUAUAGUGAUUGGGACGAGGACUGCACACUCCGAGCUUCCGAAAUUGCUGUGGGCGACGACACCAAAUCUGAGCUCUCACUUCUGCUACAAGACGGCUGCGAUGAUCAUGCGGAUGCGGAGCAGCGAGGCUUGCAGAACCUCUUUGUGUCUGACCCACAUUUUGGCAUGAAUGACAGCGAUGCCGAUGGUGAUAUUAUUUACCUGACUGCCAGGGUGAGAUUCUUGCACCCGAAGUCAUGGAUUCUCGCUAUUGAUAUCAAGAACCACAGGCUGCAAAGUGUGGCUAUGUCUGCUCCUCUACCUAAAGGAUUGCCAUGUGUAGAUUCAAACUAUUGCACUUGCAUUAUCUCCAAAUGUACCAAUUAA